GACCUAGUAGCGGAAGGCCCGCACCUGCUUCUGAUACAUAUUUGCCAUGACGCACUCCACGCAGGAGUUCCUGGUUCGACUCCAGGCUAGGUUA